rnacentral:rRNA from 1 species
UACGUAGGGUGCGAGCGUUAAUCGGAAUUACUGGGCGUAAAGAGCUCGUAGGCGGCUUGUCGCGUCGACUGUGAAAUCCCGCGGCUCAACUGCGGGUCUGCAGUCGAUACGGGCAGGCUAGAGUGCGGAAGGGGCAAUCGGGAAUUCUUGGUGUAGCGGUGAAAUGCGUAGAUAUCAAGAGGAACACCUGAGGUGAAGACGGGUUGCUGGGCCGACACUGACGCUGAGUGCGCGAAAGCCCAGGGGAGCAAACGGGG